rnacentral:rRNA from 1 species
UGAUCCUGGCUCAGGAUGAACGCUAGCUACAGGCUUAACACAUGCAAGUCGAGGGGCAGCGCAGUGUAGCAAUACAUGGGCGGCGACCGGCGCACGGGUGCGUAACGCGUAUCCAACCUUCCCGUUACUCUCGGAUAGCCUUCCGAAAGGGAGAUUAAUACGAGAUGGUGUUGAAAUUCCGCAUGUUAUUUCAACUAAAGAUUUAUCGGUAACGGAUGGGGAUGCGUGACAUUAGGUAGAUGGCGGGGUAACGGCCCACCAUGCCCACGAUGUCUAGGGGUUCUGAGAGGGAGGUCCCCCACACUGGAACUGAGACACGGUCCAGACUCCUACGGGAGGCAGCAGUGAGGAAUAUUGGUCAAUGGCCGGAAGGCUGAACCAGCCAAGUAGCGUGAAGGAUGAAGGUUCUAUGGAUUGUAAACUUCUUUUAUACGGGAAUAAAACCACCUACGUGUAGGUGCUUGUAUGUACCGUAUGAAUAAGCAUCGGCUAACUCCGUGCCAGCAGCCGCGGUAAUACGGAGGAUGCGAGCGUUAUCCGGAUUUAUUGGGUUUAAAGGGAGCGUAGACGGGAUGUUAAGUCAGUUGUGAAAGGCUGCGGCUCAACCGCAGCACUGCAGUUGAUACUGGCGUCCUUGAGUCCGUUUGAGGUAUGUGGAAUUCGUGGUGUAGCGGUGAAAUGCUUAGAUAUCACGAAGAACUCCUAUUGCGAAGGCAGCAUACUAAGCCGGAACUGACGUUGAGGCUCGAAAGUGUGGGUAUCAAACAGGAUUAGAUACCCUGGUAGUCCACACGGUAAACGAUGAAUACUCGCUGUUGGCGAUACAAUGUCAGCGGCCAAGCGAAAGCAUUAAGUAUUCCACCUGGGGAGUACGCCGGCAACGGUGAAACUCAAAGGAAUUGACGGGGGCCCGCACAAGCGGAGGAACAUGUGGUUUAAUUCGAUGAUACGCGAGGAACCUUACCCGGGCUUAAAUUGCACUGGACAGUCUGAGAGAUCAGAUUUUCUUCGGACCAGUGUGAAGGUGCUGCAUGGUUGUCGUCAGCUCGUGCCGUGAGGUGUCGGCUUAAGUGCCAUAGCGAGCGCAACCCUUGCCGUUAGUUACUAACGGGUUAUGCUGAGGACUCUAGCGGGACUGCCAUCGUAAGAUGUGAGGAAGGUGG